ACAAUCUUCCCAGUGUGCAUAAUCCACCCCCUCGUUACAAUGCUGGCAACCCCGAAGAUGAAUCAAAGCUUAGCAUCUUUAGAGGGCAACUUGGCAGUGCAAGUGGUGCGACUAACAAGACCUUGCAACAUGAAGAGUGGCGCACUAUUAUGUUGUAUGUCUUGACCAACCUAUCCGAAGUGGAGCCGUACAUGCAGGAAUUCAAUGAGCAAUUCUGGCAUGAAUCAAGGGAACCUACCCUCGAGGAAGCUUCGGCCCUUCUUAGAGAUGGGAACAACCGACGAGUCUAUGAGUGCCGACUUGAGACAAGUUGCUGAUGGUUGUGCCUAUAGGGUCAGGUCAUUUAAGGCUUACGACGUGAAUGGAUAUCGCUUCCACACAGCAAGCCACGAGCAGAGUCGGC